rnacentral:rRNA from 1 species
GACAGAGGGUGCAAACGUUGCUCGGAAUCACUGGGCGUAAAGGGCGUGUAGGCGGGUAGGCAAGUCGGGCGUGAAAUCCCUGAGCUCAACUCAGGAACUGCACUCGAAACUGCUUAUCUUGAGUGCCGGAGAGGAAAGCGGAAUACCUGGUGUAGAGGUGAAAUUCGUAGAUAUCAGGUGGAACACCAGUGGCGAAGGCGGCUUUACUGGACGGUAACUGACGCUGAGACGCGAAAGCGUGGGGGAGCAAACAGG